AUAGAUGCGAGGCUGAGGGCCCGCUGACCGCUGUCGGCGCCAGGGAUUGAAUGCGGACACCUUGCCCUCCUCCACAAUUGUGAGGGAUAGUUCGGCGAAUGGAGUUCAAUUUGGAGGACAACCAAUCCCAGCUUGAAGAUAAGCCCACCAUGAUAGGGCGGCUUGGCUUGGCUGGAGCUGAGAGACACCCAGACACGCCAUUGUGCAGAGUUGGGUGA
rnacentral:lncRNA from 1 species